UGAGCAUUCCUCAGCUCUUUGUCUUUCCUGUGGUUUUCACUGACUCCCUUUUGGUUUUGGUUGCUGGUUUUUGGAUUCUGUGUUUGGGUUUUUUGCGUCCAACUAAUUUGGGCAGUGGUACAAUCAGAGGAAGUUUGGGCUUGCCCUCAGGAAGGCUUCCAUGACCUUGUUAUCCCUCUGGGCCAUAAAGCAUGCAGAGAAGUUGGAGAAGUCUGGUCAAGGUCAGGUACUAGAGGUUACAUUGUAGCCAGGCUGGAUUCAUAGUAUUGGAUUCCAUCAUUAGGAAGACCACGUCUCCUUGUUGGUCACCUAUUGCUGACACAGCUUGUACAGUCUUCAUAGAAAAGCAUUGACACAUAGAAUGGGACUCGCUGCGCAAGCCUAAGGUCACCAGGCCCCCCAGCAUUGGGUUGUGUUCUCUGGACUCAGCUCCAUCCAAUGCCUUUGGGAUGAGUUAGAGUGAUCCAGAACUGACCAUCCAACAUCAGUUCAUUUUGCUUUGUUGUUUCGGCUUUUUGACCCUGAACGCAGCAAACCAGUUUAAGGUGGCCACGAAUAGAACACUCGAAACACGGGCUUUAGGACUUCACUGGCUUAUAAAUGCAUGUGAUUAGCAAUAUUUAUGCUGCUUUUGGCCAGAUGCUCCUGAAGCUGGUGUCUGUUUUUCGAUGUCUUACUCGAAGAUCCGGUUCCACCUUAAAUGGUGUGACUGAGUGUAACUGCUGCACCA